UCGGGUUGUAAAGCACUUUUGUCCGGAAAGAAAACUUCGGCCCUAAUACGGCGGGAGGAUGACGGUACCGGAAGAAUAAGCACCGGCUAACUACGUGCCUGCAGCGCGGUAAUCGUAGGGUGCGAGCGUUAAUCGGAAUUACUGGGCGUAAAGCGUGCGCAGGCGGUUCGUUAAGACAGAUGUGAAAUCCCCGGGCUUAACCUGGGAACUGCAUUUGUGACUGGCGAGCUAGAGUAUGGCAGAGGGGGGUAGAAUUCCACGUGUAGCAGUGAAAUGCGUAGAGAUGUGGAGGAAUACCGAUGGCGAAGGCAGCCCCCUGGGCCAAUACUGACGCUCAUGCACGAAAGCGUGGGGAGCAAACAGGAUUAGAUACCCUGGUAGUCCACGCCCUAAACGAUGUCAACUAGUUGUUGGGGAUUCAUUUCCUUAGUAACGUAGCUAACGCGUGAAGUUGACCGCCUGGGGAGUACGGUCGCAAGAUUAAAACUCAAAGGAAUUGACGGGGACCCGCACAAGCGGUGGAUGAAUGUGGAUUAAUUCGAUGCAACGCGAAAAACCUUACCUACCCUUGACAUGGUCGGAACCCUGCUG
rnacentral:rRNA from 1 species